rnacentral:lncRNA from 1 species
AGAGUCAGUGGUAGUCCCACAGCAUAGCUGAAGGGACCACCAAGGAGAUCCUGGGAGCCACCAAGCUUCUAUCAGCCAGCAGCUGAACUUGAUCCUAGAGCUGCCUGGGACCUCUGGCGCAGGCCUUAUGAGUAAGCCUGCCCAAAAGGAGACAGAGCUAAUAGAGGGAGAGAUGCAGGUUCUGAUCGCGUCAUCUGAGACCUGGUUAAAGCUACACCUCUGGUCAUUUGCUGGACUUCUCAAUUGGACAAUACAGUCCCCAUUUUACUUAAGCUUCUCUGGGUAAGGAUUUUUGCCACUUUCACUGAAAGAGUCUCAAGUGACCUCCACUGCCUUUGGAGACAGCAAGUUCCAUAUCUCUAGAAACGGUCAAGCAAAGGCUAAUAACCAUCUGUCAAGCACUCGGGGGGAAGGGAAUCUAAAACUGGGGUGAAGCUAGGCCUACAGGACUGUAUUAGUUUGCUAAGGCUGCUGUAACAAAUACCACAGACUGGGUGGCUUCAACAACAGAAAUUUAUUUUCUCACAGUUCUGGGAGCCAAAAGUCCAAAAUCAAGGUGUUGGCAAUGUUGGUUUCUCCAGGGCCCCUCUCGUUGGCUUGCAGACAAGUCAUCCUCUCCCUGUGUCAUCGCCUAUCUUCCCUUGUGCCUAUCUGUGGCCCCAAUCUCUUCUCACGAGGACACUGCUCAUAACAGAUGAGGGCUGACCCUAAUGACCUGAUUUUAAUUUCAUGACAUCCUUAAAGACCCUAACUUUAAAUAUGGUCACACUCUGAGGUACUGUGGGUUAGGACCUCAACGUAUGAAUCUUCAGGGGCCACAAUUCAGCCCAUUAAAAUGCCCUUCGAGGUCACUUACAACUCCAACAUCAAGCAAACUUGAGUAAAGAAUGCCAGUAUUUUUUUCCAGAGCCAUUUCCUCCCUAGACCAGCAACAGAGUGUGUGACACCGCUGGCAGCUUCCUCGGGCCUCAACAGUCAGAGUGAGGCUGUAUCCUUAGAGGAGGACUCUUCGCAUUUUGUACAACCUAAUCUGACCAUAUUUACUCAUUUACUUUAUUUCAUGAAUUGCUAUUUGCUUUUCCAGUGGUUGAGGUCAAAUGAAAACCUUUUACAAACAGUGCUAAUUAAUCUGGUUUUAAAAUGGGCAGCAUGGCGGGGCAUAUGCUGCACGCUGGCCAAGGUGGUGGCAUCCAGGGCACAUGCAUAGUUGAGGUGGACUUUCUCAGGAGUGGUCAUAACUGCUUUGGUUAUACUAGAGUUUUGAAAAGAUUAAACAAGCAUGUAAAGAAAAACUGCAAAACACUGUGCAAAUAUGUAAGCUACCAUUAAAUUAAAUGCAAAUAUUUCAGCAA